rnacentral:rRNA from 1 species
CAAUAGCGUAUAUUAAAGUUGUUGCAGUUAAAAAGCUCGUAGUUGGAUUUGUGGCGGUUCCUGUGGUCCGAUUUCGGUACUUUCGGGGACUGCCAUCCUUGGGUGGAUCCUGUGUGGCAUUAGGUUGUCGUGCAGGGGAUGCCCAUCGUUUACUGUGAAAAAAUUAGAGUGUUCAAAGCAGGCUUAUGCCGUUGAAUAUAUUAGCAUGGAAUAAUGAGAUAGGACCUUGGUACUAUUUUGUUGGUUUGCGCACCGAGGUAAUGAUUAAUAGGGACAGUUGUGGGUAUUCGUAUUCCAUUGUCAGAGGUGAAAUUCUUGGAUUUCUGGAAGACGAACGAAUGCGAAAGCAUUUGCCAAGGAUGUUUUCAUUAA